GACAGAGGGUGCAAACGUUGCUCGGAAUUACUGGGCGUAAAGCGCGCGCAGGUGGUUCCUUAAGUCUGAUGUGAAAGCCCACGGCUCAACCGUGGAGGGUCAUUGGAAACUGGGGAACUUGAGUGCAGAAGAGGAAAGUGGAAUUCCAAGUGUAGCGGUGAAAUGCGUAGAGAUUUGGAGGAACACCAGUGGCGAAGGCGACUUUCUGGUCUGUAACUGACACUGAGGCGCGAAAGCGUGGGGAGCAAACAGG
rnacentral:rRNA from 1 species